UAACACUUCACCACGCCAAGAACGGCGUCGACGUCGUCUCCGGAACUCGAGUGAAAUCUCACUUCGCCAAGCCUAACUGGCGUCAAGUUUACAAAAAGAUCGCCCUACAUCAUCCUGACGCCAGAAUUGGAGUUUUCUACUGUGGGGCACCAGCACUAACCAAGGAGUUGAGACAACUGGCUUCUGAUUUUUCCCACAAGACUUCAACGAAGUUCGAAUUCCACAAAGAAAAUUUUUAAUGAAAUCUCUUUUACACUUUUCUAAAUUCAUUCUAAUUUUUUAGUUCCAAGUGAAUAUAGCUUUCUUUUUAUUUUCUUAAUUUUCCAAUUUGUUUUAGCACUAUGAGAAUUGUACUAAAAUUUUCUAUAUAUUAAAAUUUAUGCCUUUAGUUCAA